rnacentral:rRNA from 1 species
GACGAACGCUGGCGGCGUGCUUAACACAUGCAAGUCGAACGGAAAGGCCCUGCUUGCAGGGUACUCGAGUGGCGAACGGGUGAGUAACACGUGGGUGAUCUGCCCUGCACUUCGGGAUAAGCCUGGGAAACUGGGUCUAAUACCGGCUAGGAGCCAUUUUUAGUGUGAUGGUUGGAAAGUUUUUUCGGUGUAGGAUGAGCUCGCGGCCUAUCAGCUUGUUGGUGGGGUAAUGGCCUACCAAGGCGGCGGCGGGUAGCCGGCCUGAGAGGGUGGACGGCCACAUUGGGACCGAGAUACGGCCCAGACUCCUACGGGAGGCAGCAGGGGGGAAGAUUGCACAAGGGGCGCAAGCCUGAUGCAGCGACGCCGCGGGGGGGAUGACGGCCUUCGGGUUGUAAACUCCUUUCGCUAGGGACGAAGCUUUUUGUGACGGUACCUAGAUAAGAAGCACCGGCUAACUACGUG